UGGGGAAUAUUGCGCAAUGGGCGAAAGCCUGACGCAGCGACGCCGCGUGAGGGAUGAAGGUCUUCGGAUCGUAAACCUCUGUCAGAAGGGAAGAAACUAGGGUGCUCUAAUCAUCAUCCUACUGACGGUACCUUCAAAGGAAGCACCGGCUAACUCCGUGCCAGCAGCCGCGGUAAUACGGAGGGUGCAAGCGUUAAUCGGAAUCACUGGGCGUAAAGCGCACGUAGGCUGUUAUGUAAGUCAGGGGUGAAAUCCCACGGCUCAACCGUGGAACUGCCCUUGAUACUGCACGACUUGAAUCCGGGAGAGGGUGGCGGAAUUCCAGGUGUAGGAGUGAAAUCCGUAGAUAUCUGGAGGAACAUCAGUGGCGAAGGCGGCCACCUGGACCGGUAUUGACGCU
rnacentral:rRNA from 1 species